UACAGAGGGUGCGAGCGUUUAAUCGGAAUUACUGGGCGUAAAGCGUGCGUAGACGGUUAUUUAAGUCGGGUGUGAAAGCCCCCGGGCUCAACCUGGGAAUUGCAUUCGAGACUGAAUAGCUAGGGUACGGUAGAGGGAAGUGGAAUUUCCGGUGUAGCGGUGAAAUGCGUAGAUAUCGGAAGGAACAUCAAGUGGCGAAAGCGACUUCCUGGACCAGUACCGACGUUCAGGCACGAAAGCCGUGGGGAGCAAACAGGA
rnacentral:rRNA from 1 species